AUAAGACGAAAGCUUUGUUUAUAAUUGUAUUAAAACUGCUCAGCCAGAUAAAAUUGGUGAAUGUAGUGAAGGAUGUCAAUCAUUCCCGCUGCUACGCAGCUAAUUUCAUAAGUAAAUGCCAUAAACAGCAAAAAAUGAAAAAAGACGAAGAAGAAGUAAUUCUUUCUGGUCGAGAUCAAUGGAUUUCGGUCGCAGGAGCGUGUUUUUGUGAAUGUAUUAAAGGUCUAUGCUGUAUUUUGAUUCUGAUGUAUUGUCGCCAAAUAUAUCAGUUGGCGCCAGUCUUAAAAAUUGGUAAGUAUAACAUAAAUUAUAAAUUGUUUAGGUUAUUCUGUAUAGUGAGGUAAAUAUAUUCUGUGUCCUUCAGGAAGCUUCAUAAACUUAAUUAUUUAUUCUUAAUUUUGUCCUAUUUUCAUAUAAAAGUUAAAAUUUUUCACAAAAUUUCAUUCUUAAUAGUGUGAUUAAAUUC